rnacentral:rRNA from 1 species
CCUACGGGUGGCAGCAGUAGGGAAUUUUCGUCAAUGGGCGCAAGCCUGAACGAGCAAUGCCGCGUGAACGAGGAAGGUCUUCGGAUCGUAAAGUUCUGUUGAAGGGGAAGAAGAGCGGAGAGAGGAAAUGCUUUCAGACUGAUAUUACCCUGCGAGAAAGUGAUGGCUAACUACGUGCCAGCAGCCGCGGUAAUACAUAGGUGGCAAGCGUUAUCCGGAAUGAUUGGGCGUAAAGCGUGCGUAGGCGGUUUGCUAAGUCUGGAGUGAAAGGUACGGGCUCAACCGGUACAGGCUCUGGAUACUGGCGAGCUAGAGAUAAAGAGAGGGCGGUGGAACUCCAUGUGUAGCGGUAAAAUGCGUAGAUAUAUGGAAGAACACCAGUGGCGAAGGCGGCCGCCUGGCUUUAUACUGACGCUGAGGCACGAAAGCGUGGGGAGCAAAUAGGAUUAGAUACCCUUGUAGUC